UACGUAGGGUGCGAGCGUUAAUCGGAAUUACUGGGCGUAAAGCGUGCGCAGGCGGUUCUGUAAGUCAGAUGUGAAAUCCCCGGGCUCAACCUGGGAACUGCGUUUGAAACUACAGGGCUAGAGUAUGGGAGAGGGAGGUAGAAUUCCACGUGUAGCAGUGAAAUGCGUAGAGAUGUGGAGGAAUACCAAUGGCGAAGGCAGCCUCCUGGCCUAAUACUGACGCUCAUGCACGAAAGCGUAGGGAGCAAACAGG
rnacentral:rRNA from 1 species